GCGCACGUAGGCGGAUAUUUAAGUCAGGGGUGAAAUCCCSCCGCUCAACUGCGGAACUGCCUUUGAUACUGGGUAUCUUGAGUAUGGAAGAGGUAAGUGGAAUUCCGAGUGUAGAGGUGAAAUUCGUAGAUAUUCGGAGGAACACCAGUGGCGAAGGCGGCUUACUGGUCCAUUACUGACGCUGAGGUGCGAAAGCGUGGGGAGCAAACAGGAUUAGAAACCCUNGUAGUC
rnacentral:rRNA from 1 species